rnacentral:rRNA from 1 species
UACAGAGGGGGCAAGCGUUGUUCGGAAUUACUGGGCGUAAAGGGCGCGUAGGCGGCCGCCUAAGUCAGACGUGAAAUCCCUCGGCUCAACCGGGGAACUGCGUCUGAUACUGGGUGGCUUGAAUCCGGGAGAGGGAUGUGGAAUUCCAGGUGUAGCGGUGAAAUGCGUAGAUAUCUGGAGGAACACCGGUGGCGAAGGCGGCAUCCUGGACCGGCAUUGACGCUGAGGAGCGAAAGCCAGGGGAGCAAACGGG